rnacentral:tRNA from 1 species
GCGCCUGUGGCGAAAUUGGUAUACGCGCCAGACUUAGGAUCUGGUGAAGCGAUUCGUGCAGGUUCGAGUCCUGUCAGGCGCA